rnacentral:rRNA from 1 species
UACGUAGGGGGCAAGCGUUGUCCGGAUUCAUUGGGCGUAAAGAGCUCGUAGGCGGCUUGGCAAGUCGGGUGUGAAAACUUCAGGCUCAACCUGGAGCGGCCACUCGAUACUGCCAUGGCUUGAGUCCGGUAGGGGACCACGGAAUUCCUGGUGUAGCGGUGAAAUGCGCAGAUAUCAGGAGGAACACCGGUGGCGAAGGCGGGUCUCUGGGCCGAUACUGACGCUGAGGAGCGAAAGCGUGGGGAGCGAACAGG